UUUAGUAAAGACGUACGGGUUUAGCGCUAUCCACACAACCCCUUCAUGUGCAGAAAUUAAAGAACAUGUUAACUCUUCUUCACCCAUACAUGGACUUUCAGUUUCGAAAAGUGAAUCUAAGUCGUCGAUGCUAAAAUGGAGGACCUAGAUUAGCCGUUUUCAUAAGGAAGUCUACUAAUCGUCAUCCAAGUCAUCGCUCUGUUCUGUAGCUUCACCAAGACAAGAUUUCGGCAGUACAGUAGGAAUAAAAUUUGAAGAAGACUCAUUUGUUUCCAACAUAUCUACAGCGUGCCAGAUUUCUAUGAAGUUGUCAAGACUCAACACGUCUUCACCGGUGUACAAAGUUUUCAGGAUUAACU